rnacentral:rRNA from 1 species
UACGAAGGGGGCGAGCGUUGUUCGGAAUUACUGGGCGUAAAGGGCGCGUAGGCGGCCCGGUAAGUAGGGGGUGAAAUCCUGCGGCUUAACCGCAGGGCUGCCUUCUAAACUGUCGGGCUCGAGCACGGUAGAGGCAGAUGGAAUUCCCGGUGUAGCGGUGGAAUGCGUAGAGAUCGGGAAGAACAUCAGUGGCGAAGGCGGUCUGCUGGGCCGUUGCUGACGCUGAGGCGCGACAGCGUGGGGAGCAAACAGG